GCUGGGCGAUGAUGACAGCAACGGUACGCAAACAAGAAGAGAGGCUUAUUUUUUCCUCUGUAAAACUGGAAAAUUUAUACUGGAUCUGCUACUCUGAUGAGAUAAAGUGGGAGGUGCUUGUUAUUUUUUGGACCUAGAGGACAGAUUUCUCCAAUAAGAUGUGAAAUAAAUAAUUGCAUUUGAUCCUUAUAGUAUGUUGGUGUUGCUAUUAUUAUUUUCAUUCUUUGUGUGGAAAAACUUGGACUGAAAAUUGCCUUCAAAAGUAGCACAUAUUAAAACAGAGGUGGAUUAACUAUUUGCCUAAAUGCAAAGUGUGAGCAUCAAGUGAGGAGAAAAGAUGAAGAACAGUGGAGAAAAGUGGAGAAAAGAUGAAGUUUAUGCAGCAAAUUGCUAACUGGAACAAGGGCUCUGUAAGGCCACGACUGCUUAGGAGGCAUUCCUAUACACCAGUGGGAAGAAGGAGGGCG
rnacentral:lncRNA from 1 species